CCUACGGGAGGCAGCAGUAGGGAAUAUUGCACAAUGGGGGAAACCCUGAUGCAGCAACGCCGCGUGGGUGAUGAAGGUUUUCGGAUUGUAAACCCCUGUCGGCAGGGAAGAAAGUGACGGUAUCUACCCAAUAAGCACCGGCUAACUCCGUGCCAGCAGCCGCGGUAAUACGGAGGGGGCAAGCGUUAUCCGGAAUCACUGGGUGUAAAGUGAGUGUAGGCGGGACGGCAAGUCAGGAGUGAAAUCCCAAGGCUCAACCAUGGGACUGCAUUGGACACUGCGAUGCGGGAGUAGAGGAGAGGUAAGAGGAAUUCCUGGUGUAGGGGUGAAAUCCGUAGAGAUCAAGAGGAACACUCGUGGCGAAGGCGACCUACUGGAACAUAACUGACGCUGAGGCGCGAAAGCGUGGGGAGCAAACAGGAUUAGAUACCCCUGUAGUC
rnacentral:rRNA from 1 species